rfam:Zea mays cultivar B73 chromosome 10, whole genome shotgun sequence.
AAAGUUGAUGAUGAAGAGCUGGUUUCUUAUCUCCUGGUCGGCCUUGAUGAGGAGUUCAGUCCAGUCGUGACGGCGGUGGGGGCGCGCACCGAGUCUAUCUCAGUGGGUGAAUUGGUCUCUCAGCUGCUGAGCUUUGAGC